UGCCAUGGCCCAGGUAGAGCUCCUGGUGCAGUUCCAGGUGGUCCUGGGUUCGAUUCCCUGCAAGGUCA